CAACCAACAUGAAUAACUGGGAACUCGCAAUAAUCCCAUCUGAGCCUGUACAUUGAUAAAUAAACAGGCCUGAUAUUCCAUAUGAACCAUCCUCGAAUGCUUUAAGUUAGGAUUAUAAGCAGGUAAAAGUUGAUUGAUCCAUCUGCGCAUAAAGGACCACCAUGUAUGUCUUAUAAUUCGGACAAAGAAAAUAGCUGAGCAGCAAUCGAUUUGCACCA
rnacentral:lncRNA from 1 species